rnacentral:rRNA from 1 species
AUACGUAGGGUGCGAGCGUUGUCCGGAAUUACUGGGCGUAAAGAGCUCGUAGGUGGUUUGUCGCGUCGUCUGUGAAAUUCCGGGGCUUAACUCCGGGCGUGCAGGCGAUACGGGCAUAACUUGAGUACUGUAGGGGAGACUGGAAUUCCUGGUGUAGCGGUGAAAUGCGCAGAUAUCAGGAGGAACACCGGUGGCGAAGGCGGGUCUCUGGGCAGUAACUGACGCUGAGGAGCGAAAGCAUGGGUAGCGAACAGGAUUAGAUACCCUGGUAGUCCAUGCCGUAAACGGUGGGCGCCAGGUGUAGGGGUCUUCCACGACUUCUGUGCCGUAGCUAACGCAUUAAGCGCCCCGCCUGGGGAGUACGGCCGCAAGGCUAAAACUCAAAGGAAUUGACGGGG